AGAUAACAAUGGAAGGGAGGAAGACGAAGCUGUGCCGCGACCGUCGAUCAACUCGUUGGACGACGGGUGCCUUAUGCGCAUCUACAGUUUCUUACCUCCGCUCUCUGUUAAAAUCAAGAAGUUCAAGAAACAAACUCUCAACCGUUACCGUUUCAAGAAGGCUCUCCUUUUCCCGCGAGUUCUAAGGAGGGAAAGCAACCUCUCUCGCUCUCUCUUGACGGGAGCGAGGCUGGAUCGUUGAUGGCGCCGACGAUGAAGGAAGAUGCAGAUUGCGUGCGUCGGUUCCCGUAGUUCAUCCUUCAGAAUUCGCUACUUGCCUCUGGUGGUGGAGUCAGACUGAUUUGGCAAAAAUUUUGACCCACAAAAACAAUGAUGGCUAUGACCCGAAGGGAAAGGGGGCAUCUAAAAGUUUGAGAGACGGAGGAACGAAGUGGAGACAUACAAUAAUGGCGGCUUACGCACGAGAUUUUUGGAGGAGGAGAGAGACAGGUUUUCGAGAUGGUUUUGAAAAGAGGGAUUGGGAGAGAUUGCCGUCAUCCUCCAAAACCGCCGCUUCUUUGCGCAUCUUGUCCUCUGCUGGGCCAACCUCCUCAAACCUCAUCACCGCCAGUGGCAACAUUUCAUCGCACCACGACGUUUCCUGGUUCAUGGUUUGGGGAAUCGUUCCUAAUAUCUGCAUAACCACAAGGGCAUGUUAAGGAGUUUUCCUGAUCUCUCUCUCUCCCUGCUUUUCUAGUACGUUCUCUCUAUCUCCAUCAAUGUUCAAUCUCCUCUUUGAUCUCUCGAUCUCAAUCUGUCCCUUUCUUUAUUUUUUAUCUACCGAUUGGCGUGUACACCUCUCUCACUCUCCGGUUCCCACUCUCCCUCGGUUGGCCAUUCUGUCUGUUUUUCUCUUGAUCCGUGUCCCUUGAUCUUGACCUCUAGCUGACUAUCGAUCUAUCAACAUUGUUGUCGCUACUUGCUUCACUUGCUCGCUGUUUGCCCUAAGCAUAGGAGAAAUUUCAU